GUUGGUCUUCUGUCACUCCAUCACAGGCCACGAUGUGGGUGCUCACAGAGCGAUGACCCGUACAAUACACAUACUUGCGAAAUUCCAACGUGAUUAUACCUGCAGGACACUGCUUCAGUCAUUCCGCAAAGAUCGCAUCCUGAACGUCCGUCCAGGUGUAUGUAGGCACUUUGGCAAUUAAUGCAUGAUAGCGACAUUGUCUACCCUUGAGAUCUUGGCCACGAGAAUUUGCAGGGUCCAAGGCAUCUUUGAGCGGCAGCACUAUCCUCGGUGGCCCAGAUGCUGUCGAUGCAGUAGUGGAUGUCCCCCUUUGACUUUUCUUCCUAUUUUGAGCAGCCCACUUGUCUGCCCAACCCUUCUUCAUAUUCAGCUUUUCGGCAAAGUCAAUCUAAUGCAACCUGGAUCCUGCAACGCCCAGGGAAAGUGCUUGCGUCCCAGGCAAGCUUCAGUAUAUCAGGGAAACAAAUUCUAAGCUUUCCAGUAUUCAGGAA
rnacentral:lncRNA from 1 species